rnacentral:rRNA from 1 species
AACGAGCGCUGGCGGCAGGCCUAACACAUGCAAGUCGAGCGAAGCUUUCGGGCUUAGCGGCGGACGGGUGAGUAACGCGUGGGAACGUGCCCUUUGGUACGGAAUAGCCCCGGGAAACUGGGAGUAAUACCGUAUGUGGUCGAGAGACGAAAGAUUUAUCGCCAAAGGAUCGGCCCGCGUUGGAUUAGGUAGUUGGUGGGGUAAUGGCCUACCAAGCCGACGAUCCAUAGCUGGUUUGAGAGGAUGAUCAGCCACACUGGGACUGAGACACGGCCCAGACUCCUACGGGAGGCAGCAGUGGGGAAUCUUAGACAAUGGGGGAAACCCUGAUCUAGCCAUGCCGCGUGAUCGAUGAAGGCCUUAGGGUUGUAAAGAUCUUUCAGUGGGGAAGAUAAUGACUGUACCCACAGAAGAAGCCCCGGCUAACUCCGUGCCAGCCGCCGCAGUAAUAC